rnacentral:RNase_P_RNA from 1 species
GGAGUCGGCCGGACAAUCGCUGCCGCGCAUGCGGGGGAGGAAAGUCCGGGCUCCACAGGGCAAGGUGCCAGGUAAUGCCUGGGCGGCGUGAGCCGACGGAAAGUGCAACAGAGAACAGACCGCCGAAGUCUCGCAAGAGGCUGGUAAGGGUGAAACGGUGCGGUAAGAGCGCACCGCGGUUCCGGUAACGGAAACGGCACGGCAAACCCCACCUGGAGCAAGACCAAAUAGGGAAGGGUCCGCUGGCAACGGCGGAACGCGUGGCCCACGCGCCUUCCGGGUAGGUCGCUGCAGUGGCGCAGUGAUGCGUCGCGUAGAGGAAUGAUUGUCGGGGUGCGCAAGCGCCCGCACAGAACCCGGCUUAUAGGCCGACUCCCACC